ACAGAGUGUACACGUCCCAGCCCACAAUACGGAUAAGAACCAUCAGCCGAUGUCCCACAUUUUAUACCAUGGAGACCAUAGAAGAAGAAAUGGAAGAAGAGGGGGAGGAAAGACCAAGAAGAAGAUCCUGGGUCCCCAAGUGCUUUAGGAGGAACCGUCCAAGAGGCCUCAGCAGAGGGGAGAGCUGGGGGCUAAGAUUCCUGAGAAGAUUGUGCUGCUUCAGCAGAGAA